rnacentral:SRP_RNA from 2 species
AGGAAGGUUGGACGGACGAGCUCCUCGCCAACCCGGUCAGGUCCGAGAGGAAGCAGCCGUAACGAGUUUUGGCUCGGGUCGUUUCCAACCUUCCGCCU